rnacentral:rRNA from 1 species
AGAGAGAGACAUGCGCGCAUAUCAAUAAGCGGAGGAAAAGAAACUAACAAGGAUUCCCCUAGUAACGGCGAGUGAAGCGGGAAGAGCUCAAAUUUGAAAUCUUAAAGGGUUUCCCUUUACGAAUUGUAGUUUAAAGAAGUGUUUUCUGUUGAGGUUUUGGUAAAAGUUCUUUGGAAUAGGACAUCAUAGAGGGUGAGAAUCCCGUAUUUGACCUUUACUUUCAACUGUGUGAUACACUUUCAAAGAGUCGGAUUGUUUGGGAAUGCAGUCCAAAAUGGGUGGUAAAUUUCAUCUAAAGCUAAAUAUUGGCGAGAGACCGAUAGCGAACAAGUACCGUGAGGGAAAGAUGAAAAGAACUUUGAAAAGAGAGUUAAACAGUACGUGAAAUUGUCAAAAGGGAAGCGUUUGACACCAGUGUUGUUUUUCUGAAAAUCAAUUAAAGAACUGUUUAUGCUAAGUUGUUUAGACUUUAUCAGCUAACUGUUUAGUUUUGAGCUUUUCUUUAAUGCACUUUUCAGUUAACAAGUCAACAUCAAUUUCUUUUGCUGUAAAAAAGCUUGAGGAAGGUGGCUUGAGAUUCGUCUUAAGUGUUUAUAGCCUUUGGCCUCUGCAAUCGGAGAGAUUGAGGUCUGCAGCGUAGAUCCUUCGGGGUUAGAUAGCAUUUGUGCUAAGUUAUAGCCUUUCAUAGACAACUUGUUGACUAUGAUCAGUCAUGUAGCUUACUCGCUUAUGCUAUUUUACCUACGCUUAGGAUGUUGAGCGCAUGUCUCUCUCU